GUCUCGGUAGCUCAGUGGUAGAGCGUGGGAUUGCAGCCCCCAAUAGCCAAAAUCCUAAGGUCAUGUGUUCGAUCCACAUUCGGGACU